AGCCUGUGCCAAUGCAUUGCCACUCUUCCUAAGAAGAAAUUUUUCCUAAUAUCCAAUCCAGACCUUCUCUGAAGCAAUGGAAGUCUGCCCCAACCCUUGUCCCCCAUGUGUGGACAAUGUAUGCCCUUUCUUUGGUACAACCAGAUCAGAUCUACUUUCAAGGUAGUUUUAUCUGAAGUUGUCAACCUGGUUGUAAACUUUGCACUGAAGAGCAUUUCUGCUAGUGAGAGCCCUGAUUUUUCCAGUUAUUUCUUUAGAGUCCACCAUAGCCAGGCACAGAUUGGCACAGAUUGGUAUCAGAAUCCACAGCCCCUUUAGCUGCCUUUUCAUCUGGUCUUUUCUCUGCUGCACUACUGGACUUUGGAGAUAUAUGAAGCUGAAUGUGAUACUCUCAAAUCUGGGAGAUUUCACACAUUUAAAUCUUUUCUCCAUCCAUGUUGCAUAUUUUGGCCUGAAUUGUUCACUUUAGACACGCUUUUAGGCUCUUAUAAGUACAUCUUCUUAGAAUUCCUGUAUUUUUCUGAAGCAUUUAAAAGAACACAAUACUUCUGAAGUCAGAGUCAUCUUCAGUCUACAACACAUUGCACAAAGCUUUGGUUAGAACUGCAAAUACAGGUUAUGUAUAAUUCCCUGGCCCAUCACAGACACCGCCUUAAUGGCCUUCAGUGUUGUCUGAUCCCUUGCUGCAGCUUCUGUAAAUUUAUUCCACAUUGUUUUUGAAACUAGAUAAUUCAUUUUGAUCAAAUAUGCACGUAUUGCGCUGUUCCCUGUAUCAGUUUCAAGCACAGCCUCACCAAACGCUCUCAAGAGCAUAUCUACUAUCAAUAAUUGUUUCCUUCAUUGACUCUCUAUUUCCAGUCCUACAACAGAAAUUGGUAAAGCAACAUUUGUGUUACGGAAGCGAUAUCAGUCAGUACUUUUGGUGCUGCAGAUAUAAGGCAUUUGCAUUCAGGAUUUUGCUACAGCCUGUCACAUGAGAAUUAAAAUGUAAAAUUUCUCAUC
ensembl:lncRNA